rnacentral:rRNA from 1 species
GCAAGUCGAGCGGUAACAUUUCAAAAGCUUGCUUUUGAAGAUGACGAGCGGCGGACGGGUGAGUAAUGCCUAGGAAAUUGCCCUGAUGUGGGGGAUAACCAUUGGAAACGAUGGCUAAUACCGCAUGAUGCCUACGGGCCAAAGAGGGGGACCUUCGGGCCUCUCGCGUCAGGAUAUGCCUAGGUGGGAUUAGCUAGUUGGUGAGGUAAUGGCUCACCAAGGCGACGAUCCCUAGCUGGUCUGAGAGGAUGAUCAGCCACACUGGAACUGAGACACGGUCCAGACUCCUACGGGAGGCAGCAGUGGGGAAUAUUGCACAAUGGGCGCAAGCCUGAUGCAGCCAUGCCGCGUGUAUGAAGAAGGCCUUCGGGUUGUAAAGUACUUUCAGUCGUGAGGAAGGUGGUGUUGUUAAUAGCAGCAUCMUUUGACGUUAGCGACAGAAGAAGCACCGGCUAACUCCGUGCCAGCAGCCGCGGUAAUACGGAGGGUGCGAGCGUUAAUCGGAA